UACGUAGGGUGCGAGCGUUGUCCGGAAUUAUUGGGCGUAAAGAGCUCGUAGGCGGUCUGUCGCGUCUGCUGUAAAAACUCGGGGCUUAACCCCGGGCCUGCAGUGGGUACGGGCAGACUAGAGUUCGGCAGGGGAGACUGGAAUUCCUGGUGUAGCGGUGAAAUGCGCAGAUAUCAGGAGGAACACCGGUGGCGAAGGCGGGUCUCUGGGCCGAUACUGACGCUGAGGAGCGAAAGCGUGGGGAGCGAACAGG
rnacentral:rRNA from 1 species